rnacentral:rRNA from 1 species
GACGAACGCUGGCGGCGUGCUUAACACAUGCAAGUCGAACGGUAAGGCCCUUCGGGGUACACGAGUGGCGAACGGGUGAGUAACACGUGGGUGAUCUGCCCUGCACUUCGGGAUAAGCCUGGGAAACUGGGUCUAAUACCGGAUAGGACCACGCGCUUCACGGUGUGUGGUGGAAAGCUUUUGCGGUGUGGGAUGGGCCCGCGGCCUAUCAGCUUGUUGGUGGGGUAAUGGCCUACCAAGGCGACGACGGGUAGCCGGCCUGGGAGGGUGCCCGGCCAAACUGGGAAUGAGAUACCGCCCGAACUCCUACGGGAGGCAGCCGUGGGGAAUAUGGCACAAUGGGGGCAAGGCUGAUGCAGCGACGCCGCGUGAGGGAUAACGGCGUUCGGGUUGUAAACCUCUAUCGGUAGGGACGAAGCGCAAGUGACGGUACCUACAGAAGAAGGACCGGCCAAGUACGUGCCAGCCGCCGCCGUAA